rnacentral:rRNA from 1 species
CCCUUAGAUGUCCUGGGCUGCACGCGCGCUACACUGAUGUGUCCAGUAAGCACCUAACCUCUUCCGAAAGGAACGGGUAACCUUUGCAAAGCACAUCGUGAUGGGGAUAGAUUAUUGCAAUUAUUAGUCUUGAACGAGGAAUUCCUAGUAAGCACAAGUCAUCAGCUUGUGUUGAUUACGUCCCUGCCCUUUGUACACACCGCCCGUCGCUCCUACCGAUUGAAUGUUCCGGUGAGCUCUUCGGACUGCGCGGUCUGCAGUUUCUGCGUUCCGUGCGGAAAGUUGCGCAAACCUUAACAUUUAGAGGAAGUAAAAGUCGUAACA